rnacentral:rRNA from 1 species
UACAGAGGGUGCAAACGUUGCUCGGAAUCAUUGGGCGUAAAGGGCGCGUAGGUGGCGGGACAAGCGUGCGGUGAAAGCCUGGGGCUCAACCCCGGGUCGGCCGUGCGAACUGUUUUGCUUGAGCACUGUAGAGGCAGGCGGAAUUCCGGGUGUAGCGGUGGAAUGCGUAGAGAUCCGGAAGAACACCGGUGGCGAAGGCGGCCUGCUGGGCAGUAGCUGACACUGAGGCGCGACAGCGUGGGGAGCAAACAGG